rnacentral:rRNA from 1 species
UACAGAGGGAGCUAGCGUUGUUCGGAAUUACUGGGCGUAAAGCGCACGUAGGCGGCUUUGUAAGUUAGAGGUGAAAGCCCGGAGCUCAACUCCGGAAUUGCCUUUAAGACUGCAUCGCUUGAAUCCGGGAGAGGUGAGUGGAAUUCCGAGUGUAGAGGUGAAAUUCGUAGAUAUUCGGAAGAACACCAGUGGCGAAGGCGGCUCACUGGACCGGUAUUGACGCUGAGGUGCGAAAGCGUGGGGAGCAAACGGG